GGCCUCGUAGCUCAGUUGGUUAGAGCAUUGGCUGUAUUAAAGCCUUCCCCGCUGGCGUGGAUUCGAACCCCACUGAGACCG
rfam:Schistocephalus solidus strain NST_G2 genome assembly, scaffold: SSLN_contig0015794